UUACGGCCACAUCAUGUUGAAAAACCAGUUCCCAUACGAUCACCGAAGUUAAGCAACGUCUAACCUGGUCAGUAUCUAGAUGGGUGACUGGUUGGGUAGUCUACA